GACGAACGCUGGCGGCGUGCUUAACACAUGCAAGUCGAGCGGUAAGGCCCUUUCGAGGGUACACGAGCGGCGAACGGGUGAGUAACACGUGGGUGACCUGCCCUCAGCUCUGGGAUAAGCCUGGGAAACCGGGUCUAAUACUGGAUAUGACUCCAUGACGCAUGUUGUGGGGUGGAAAGCCUUGUGCGGCUGAGGAUGGGCCCGCGGCCUAUCAGCUUGUUGGUGGGGUGAUGGCCUACCAAGGCGACGACGGGUAGCCGGCCUGAGAGGCGACCGGCCACACUGGGACUGAGACACGGCCCAGACUCCUACGGGAGGCAGCAGUGGGGAAUCUUGCGCAAUGGGCGAAAGCCUGACGCAGCGACGCCGCGUGAGGGAUGACGGCCUGG
rnacentral:rRNA from 1 species